rfam:Schistosoma curassoni strain Dakar, Senegal genome assembly, scaffold: SCTD_scaffold0022362
AUCCACCUGACAAGUCCAAAGAUAGGACGAAACGCGCAUCGUAGAU